GGAGGUUUGGUUGAAUGGGAAAUAUCUGCUUCACUGACAGAUGAGCCUCUGAUUGUUUAAGGGUGAACUAUCCAGUUUAUUCAGUUGAAUUUCUGCCUAGACUUCAUUAGUCGGACCUCUUAUUGCUUACAGUUUUACACUAAACUGAACCCUGAAGUCAGGUUUUCAGCAGUACGAGUUGGAUCAGUCUCAGGUAACAAGACAUCAGAGUUUAAUCCUACAAUCAUGGAAGACCUAUGUAAAGCCAUCAUUGCAGCAGCUGCAGUAGGAGGUACUGUGGUUCUGACUCCUGCUGUUCUGACGGGAAUAGGCUUUGGUGCAACUGGAAUAGUAGCAGGCUCCAUAGCUGCUCAGCUGAUAUCAAUUUCUGGAGCUUUCUGGUUGUUAGAACUCUUCUAUUCUAUAGGUGCCACUGUAAUUGCAUGGAUUGCUAAAAUGCUAUGGGGCCUGUUCGGAUGGAAUAUAGCAAAUCUGAUAUCAUCUCUCUGCAAUAUAACUGUUGUGUAUAAAGACAUCGAACCAUAGAACUGAUGUAAAACUGAUGACCAUUGAUCUAUAAAGUCUCCAAUGCUCUUCUGACUUUCAAUAGAUGUUUCAUUAUCUUCCUUAGCAAACCACUAUGAGUAGAUGAUGCAUUUAGACUAUUUUAGACUAAAGAUUUUAUUUCAAAGUCAUUUGCAUUAUAUUAAACAUUUGUUAUUUUGUGCAACUACACAUUUGGGUGUUUCUUUUAAACUUCAGUAAAAUAUAUUGUACUGAUGAGCCUUCAGGGUUUUUAUUAAGACAAGAGAGAUGCUUUUACCAGGGUGUCCUAACAAUGAUGCAAAGUGGUCAAAUGUGAGAUGAAAUCUACGGUUUGUCUUUUAGUUACCCUAAUAAACAGACUCUUCCUCUUCCUGUGGAUCAAUUUAAAGAAAUCUGUAACUGUUCUGACCACCUUAAAGGAAUAAAUAUUUGAUCUGGGUGAAUAAAGUAAUUUAAUCAUCAA